rnacentral:misc_RNA from 1 species
UCAUCCACCUUAACAUUCUCAUCACUGCAACUCUUAUCUUAGCUACAGCCUAAUAUAUAUCAUACCUAUUGCAGAACAGAACACUUCAAUACAGAGUUGCAAAAAAAUUAAGUCACCAAAAUCACAAAUGAGCAACAAGAGACUCCAGUCCGCUGUAUAAGUGUUGCUCUUGCACAACUCGUCACAUAACAAGCAAAUAGCACCAUAAAACCAAAACAGAAACAUAAAAUUUGGAAUCACAAAUGAUUAACAAUGUACCAAACCAUUUGAAACCAAAGAGAAAAUUCCAUAGAGACUUAUUUAUACACAAUUAAUACCCAUCAAAAUAGCAGAACACAACUUUAAAAUCAACCCCAGUUCCAAUGCAGAAUUAUAGGACAGACAUGAAACGUUUCACAUCGGAUACACAAAAAUGAAAUUGAAAUCCUAAAACAACCAACUACAUUACAAAUUUAAAUAUAUUGCAAAUGAGCAACCAAAAUACAUUCAACCUUUUUAAAUUUAAUACUGAUCACAAAGCCCAUCAAAAGUGAGUAAAAUAGAAAAUUUAAUUUGAAGUCAAGAAUUUCAUAUUUAAAUACAACUCCAAAACACAAUCCAAGUUAGCAAAUUAAGAGCAGCCUUCUUCUCUUGUUGAGACUCCUAGGCUCCUCGUGCCUCUCCUCUGCCAACUCAAACAUACACACAAAGCCCCAAUAUAGAUAUUUUAAUUUCCCAGGGGAAAAAAUAAAUCAAAUUAAUACUGAAAUUGAAACAAUCAUAUCAACUAUCAAACAUAUUCAAUUUCACGAACAUUAAAUUGCAUUAAAAUCCAAAUAUCAUCAAGGAAUUAAACAUCAAAGUACUUCUCAAAAAUUCACAAAAAAAGCACAAUUACAUCACCAUAGGAAUCAUGUUAAGCUUUCUGUUCUUCUUGAGACUCCAGUGGAAUUCCAAGCUCCUGAGGCGCCGCUCCCUCUUCAUUCCCUUUCUUUUCCUUCUUCUUCCUAGGCGGUACUGGCACAGCAAUAAAAGCCUUGGUCUUGCUAAUGGGUCUGCUCUUUUCAAGCUGGACAAGGUCGCCAACCUUGAACUGGUUCUCAGGGUCAUGAGCCUGAAACUUCUUCUUCUUCCUCACCCGUCUCUUGUACUUGGGAUGCGGGGCCAACCGGGUUACCUCAACAGACACCGUCUUGUCAUUGGUUGCACAAACCACUCUGCCUUGCAUUGACCUCAUGGCUCUGAUUGGAGGGAGAAAAGUGAAGGGCUUAGGAGGUUGAAGGGACAGAGAGGAAGUGGGUUCUGAGAAGUGAGAGAGAGGGGUUGUGCCAUUGAGGAAAGGGGUGGAGAGAGUGAGCGAAUUGAGUGAGGAUGUGAGGUACAUUGUUUUCCCAGUGAGAUUGGGACCUGGCGAUAACGGAUGAGUUAUCUACUCAUCUU